rnacentral:rRNA from 1 species
GAUGAACGCUGGCGGCGUGCCUAAUACAUGCCAGUCGAGCGAACAGACGAGGAGCUUGCUCCUCUGACGUUAGCGGCGGACGGGUGAGUAACACGUGGAUAACCUACCUAUAAGACUGGGAUAACUUCGGGAAACCGGAGCUAAUACCGGAUAAUAUAUUGAACCGCAUGGUUCAAUAGUGAAAGACGGUUUUGCUGUCACUUAUAGAUGGAUCCGCGCCGCAUUAGCUAGUUGGUAAGGUAACGGCUUACCAAGGCAACGAUGCGUAGCCGACCUGAGAGGGUGAUCGGCCACACUGGAACUGAGACACGGUCCAGACACCUACGGGAGGCAGCAGUAGGGAAUCUUCCGCAAUGGGCGAAAGCCUGACGGAGCAACGCCGCGUGAGUGAUGAAGGUCUUCGGAUCGUAAAACUCUGUUAUUAGGGAAGAACAAAUGUGUAAGUAACUAUGCACGUCUUGACGGUACCUAAUCAGAAAGCCACGGCUAACUACGU